UUUGGCUUUAUGCUCUUCUUGCUCUACUCUUAGGUGUUUUUCGUUCUAAGUUUAGGAACUCCCGGUUAAAUGUUGCCUUGAACUUCUUGUGGAUAUUUCAUAUGGUUCCAAGUCCAAAAUAUGGUCGCUAGGCUACUAGAUCUUUGAUAUGGCUGCACUGAAGCUUGCAUUCAAAGUAUUUGUAAGUAACUAUGCUGGCAUGCUCUUUUAGUUAUAGCUCCUUGUCAACUUACUAGAUUUUACCCAGUUUGAGUUUGGCAGCUCCUUCAAAGCAAAUGGCUUGUAAGAAUUACUUAUGUAACCUCAUUUAGUUUCUAUUCACAUGAUGAUGCUUGUAAUACCUUGGUCGUCUACAUUACUCCUGCCAUGGCAAUAUCUUGCAUUUUGUGAGAUUUCAUUGUGGAAUAAACAUAAAUCGAUUCUAAUGCCAUUCUCCAUGAAACCC